CCUACGGGAGGCAGCAGUGAGGAAUAUUGGUCAAUGGGCGGAAGCCUGAACCAGCCAAGUAGCGUGCAGGAUGACGGCCCUACGGGUUGUAAACUGCUUUUAUACGGGAAUAACGCGCCUUACGUGUAGGGCUUUGCAUGUACCGUAUGAAUAAGGACCGGAUAAUUCCGGGCCAGCAGCCGCGGUAAUACGGAAGGUCCGGGCGUUAUCCGGAUUUAUUGGGUUUAAAGGGAGCGUAGGCCGCAUGUCAAGCGUGCUGUGAAAUGUCCGGGCUCAACCCGGGCCUUGCAGCGCGAACUGGGGUGCUUGAGUCCGCGGAAGGCAGGCGGAAUUCGUCGUGUAGCGGUGAAAUGCUUAGAUAUGACGAAGAACCCCGAUGGCGAAGGCAGCUUGCUGCAGCGGAACUGACGCUGAUGCUCGAAAGCGCGGGUAUCGAACAGGAUUAGAUACCCGGGUAGUC
rnacentral:rRNA from 1 species